UUGUCGACAGAAGAGCGAAUGUGUCUUUUGCAGCGUGAGUGACUCCUCUUAACAUCAUGGAAGUCAGCCCUGUGGAGACAGAACAAUGGUCACUUUUGUUGAUGCCAGCCACCCCCAGUAGGCAGACUCCUUGUGGAAUAGAAGAGAAAUUACUGUUAUGAUAAUGCAGUCUAAUCUACAGAACAGACUGAGAAACCUAUUGUUGGAACAGCUAUACAAGAUUCCUAGA